rnacentral:tRNA from 1 species
GGAAGGGUGUCCGAGUCCGGUUUAUGGUACCAGUCUUGAAAACUGGCGUGCGCAAGCACCGUGGGUUCAAAUCCCACCCCUUCCGCCA